AUUCAUUUAGUAUAUAAAGUAUAUUUAACUUCCAAUUAAAAGGAUUAUAAAAAAUGAAUA
rnacentral:tRNA from 1 species